AUAAAAUAUGUAAUUUGUAGAGAGUUAUAACGAAGCUUCGUUAUAUGGAAACCCGGAAUUAGUAUUACAAAUACGUUAUCAUAUACUUUUCAUUUCCACAUACAUCUAUCUCUUAAAUAAAUUGAUGGUGUUGGAAACACUCAUCAUAUGCAAAUUAUUCCACUAAUUCCACUAAUUCCACUAAACACUCUUUACACUCAUCAUUGCCGGCCAUCUUCUACACUCAUUCCACUAAAUAAUCAUUAUUCCACUACCUCCCCACUACUACACCCUUUUUCCCCACCAAUACACCUAACUCUCCACACACUUCAUUUUUUUUAUUUCUCCACCACUACAUUCCAUAUUCAGCACUACAUCUUGCAGAUUCCUCAUUAAGAAAUCCUCUCUCUCUAAUCUUCUAAAUUACCAUUUUCUUUCCUCCUACUCCUCACGGGUCCUUCAAAGAAAUUAUCAAGUUUGUUUCAAGUUCCAAAUCAAGAAUCAAGAAGCCACAAAUCCUCAUCUGCCUCUUCAAGGUCCGGGCGACAGAAAGUGAAGCAGAAGAAGAAACGACUCCACGCCAGCUUUAAGAACGUUUAAGGUGGGCAUUAUUUUAUUAUUACGUAUAUAGAGAUCCCCUGCGUGACGUAGGCCUCAUAUGCGAAUAUAUAUGCAUGAUAUGUUUUGACUAUUUAUUCAGUUCUUAUGAAAUGCUUAUAUGUUUAAUGCCCUUUAUGAAAAUGAAAAUGUUAUGAAAAUGAAAUAUUUAUGAAAUGAUUGACUGCCAAAAUGUUUAUGUUUUUAUAUGUAUCCUAUCUGUGUUGGUUCGCCAACUUUAAAGGAAAUCCAAUUGGGAUCCUAUGCUAGACAAAGGUCGCUAGCUAGGGUUAACGUGUACACUUAUGGAGACCGCGAGUCGCUUGCGACCGGUCUUGGCGUCCGUGGUAAGGAGGCCUCCUUCCCGGCGCGUGAUAGAAAGGGCAGAUAUGGACCAUAUAGACUGAAAAUGGGAUGCAUCCACCUUU